UAUGUACAUUAUUACAGCAUAUCAUCAAUGCAUCGGAUCCCAUUACAACUUCACAGUUAAGCACGCUCGGGAUAGAGUAGUACUAGGAUGAGUGACCACCUACGAAGUCCUAGUAUUUUACAUGC
rnacentral:rRNA from 1 species